AAUAUAAACACGUACACAUGGAAAUAUAUAAUAUUAUAAUAAAUCUUAUAAGGUGGCAGACUGCUUAAAAAUCUUUGAGGCUUGAUCGACUUUUGCAUUGAGUCUAGAAGCAUGUCGCUCACUUACUUAAUAUCUCGACUACUAAACCUAAACAAUAACUUACAUGAAACCUAAACUAAAGUCUGUUUUGAACAUAGAGGUUUUGAACCGUAAAUAAAUGGAGCAGCUGCUAUCACGUGACUGGCAACGUUCCCUGUCAAUCAGCGCGCGCGCGCGCGUGUGUGUGUGUUCAGUCAGUCAGUGACAGUCAGUCAGUCAGGUCAUGAUCAUGUCACUCAUGAAGCCGCAUAAGUCAAAGAAAGACAAGUGUGUGAAAUCCAGCAGAAAGGGAGGCAAACAGCAUGAAGAUGAUCAGGACUCUGAAAAUGAGGGUCUGAAUAAGAAGAUCAGGACCAGAAAACACACAUCCGGCCCGAACACACAUCGCAGACUGAGUGUGUGUGUGAGCAUCAGCAGGGAGCUGGAGCCACUGGACGCUCUCACA